CUGAUCCCUUCCCGAACUCAGAAGUGAAACAUCGUUGCGCCAAUGGUAGUGUGGAUUCGUCCAUGUGAGAGUAGGUCAUCGUCAGCU
rnacentral:rRNA from 1 species